rnacentral:rRNA from 1 species
GCCUCCGGGCGCCCAACCUCCCACCCGUGACUACCUAACACUGUUGCUUCGGCGGGGAGCCCUCUCGGGGGCGAGCCGCCGGGGACUACUGAACUUCAUGCCUGAGAGUGAUGCAGUCUGAGUCUGAAUAUAAAAUCAGUCAAAACUUUCAACAAUGGAUCUCUUGGUUCCGGCAUCGAUGAAGAACGCAGCGAACUGCGAUAAGUAAUGUGAAUUGCAGAAUUCAGUGAAUCAUCGAGUCUUUGAACGCACAUUGCGCCCCCUGGCAUUCCGGGGGGCAUGCCUGUCCGAGCGUCAUUGCUGCCCAUCAAGCCCGGCUUGUGUGUUGGGUCGUCGUCCCCCCCGGGGGACGGGCCCGAAAGGCAGCGGCGGCACCGUGUCCGGUCCUCGAGCGUAUGGGGCUUUGUCACCCGCUCGAUUAGGGCCGGCCGGGCGCCAGCCGACGUCUCCAACCAUUUUCUUCAGGUUGACCUCGGAUCAGGUAGGGAUACCCGCUGAACUUAAGCAUAUCAAUAAGCCGGAGGA